GACAGAGGGUGCAAACGUUGUUCGGAAUUACUGGGCGUAAAGCGCGUGUAGGCGGUCUCGUAAGUCGGGUGUGAAAGCCCUGGGCUCAACCCAGGAAGUGCACUCGAAACUGCGAGGCUAGAGUACUGGAGAGGUUGGUGGAAUUCUCGGUGUAGAGGUGAAAUUCGUAGAUAUCGAGAGGAACACCGGUGGCGAAGGCGGCCAACUGGACAGAUACUGACGCUGAGACACGAAAGCGUGGGGAGCAAACAGG
rnacentral:rRNA from 1 species